GUAUCUGCGGGCGGUGCCCGCCCGUGGCACGCGGCAGUUCCUGAAUUUCGCGCCCCGAUGCUGGUGACGGGUGUGUCCAGUUGACGCGCCCGGGAUUAAGCUCACUAGGAUCGGGCCUGCUUAGACCCCUCCCCCGUCCAGCUGAGUGGGGCGAAUCGCCGCCGGAGUGGUUGCGCCCUGGGGGUGUCUCUAGCUCCAGUGUGCUUAAAUGACAUCAAAGUUGGUAUCUUCUGUGCUAAAACUACAUACUACUGCCACUUGAUCUACAGGAAACUGCUACUGCCUCUUUUAUCUAAUAUACCCUGGUGAUAUGCCUUGGAUUUAGCUCACUGGGCUUGGGCCCUCUUUGUAAACUGAUGACUAGAAGCUUUCUUGGGUCAGCAGAGCAAGGAAGAACCAGGCCUGCAAUGAGUCAGAGAAGUAAAGAAGACAAACUAUAAGAAGAGAGCUGCCACUCCUGUCCAGAAUUUGCCAAGAGAUCAUUUGGUGUCAUUCUUUCAGCAUGGAUUACAGUGUUGUGAUGCACUUCAGAAAAUCUUCUGACAUUGCUGCAUUGUGUGGAACAUCUGCCCUUUUCUUUCAAAUAUAGAUCUCACUGACAAAGGCACAAUUAAUGUAAACUUCUUCCUGUAAUGACUGGGAUCCCUUUGGAAUUGAUCCAGGGACUGUUGUAUGUAGAAUAUUGCUGUCUAGGUAUUCUUUUGUGUGUAAGGUAAAGGGAAACAGUAACACCCAUUCUCCAUGGGCUGUCCUGGUUGCAGAAAAAAUUGUGGAUUCAAUUCAACAUCUCAUUGAAGUAAUCCUUUUUCUGGGCCCAAGGUAUAUGGCUGUGCCUAUUCCUAUUGCCCUCCAAGCCUGCUGUUCUUAACUUCAAGGGCUUUCACAACUGUGCCCCUCCUUACUUGUCUGCUCUUAUAUCUUGUGUCCUUUCCCUGCUUCACCAGUGAUGACAGAUUUGACCCCUUGUUUGUCUCCAUCUCAAACAAAUAAUUUUAUACUUUAACCUCUAUCCCUUAUGCAUGCAACAGUCUCACAGAACUAGUCUGUAAAGCCCCAGCCCUCUCCCCAUUUAAAUCCUUCCCCAAGACUUACUUCUACCAUGAUGGCUACUGGAAAUUGCCAGAUGAUAAUGACUAGGUAGAUGCCAGUGGGGAUUGCUGAUAUUUAUUUAUAAAACAUUUUAAAACACAUGUAUAUGAUUUGGAACAUCAAGUUAAGCACAUAAUUAAGAACCUGUGUUGUCCACAAGCUAGCUAAUAUGCUCAUCCUCCCUCCGCCUCUGUUUCUUACAUGUGUGUCUUGUCAAAUUAAAUUGUAAGCUCUCCAGGGAAAGGGCUGUAC